UCCAAAAUGCUACCUAAAAGACUGAAAGAAAUUGGAAUUGAAACUCGCAUUGUCGGCCUGCAGAAAAGUAGCAUCAUAUAUUCUGUAACAAUCCUAAGAAAGAUUCUUAAGAUUUGAGGAAAUUUAUUGCCACUAAAAGUCACAAUAACUCU